AUACGAAGGGGGCUAGCGUUGUUCGGAUUUACUGGGCGUAAAGCGCACGUAGGCGGAUUGAUUAGUUAGGGGUGAAAUCCCGAGGCUCAACCUCGGAACUGCCUCUAAAACUGUCAAUCUCGAGACCGGAAGAGGUGAGUGGAACUCCUAGUGUAGAGGUGGAAUUCGUAGAUAUUAGGAAGAACACCAGUGGCGAAGGCGGCUCACUGGUCCGGUACUGACGCUGUGGUGCGAAAGCGUGGGGAGCGAACAGGAUUAGAAACCCCUGUAGUCC
rnacentral:rRNA from 1 species